UGCAGUAGCCCAAAUACCAGCCUGUAUUUGUUUGCUGCUGCUGCCGAAGCCUUCGACCUCAGCCUGCCCUUCUCUCCCUCAGUGCUGACAUUUGUGGAGCUCCAGAGCACGUGGAGCUGUGAGAUUGUGUCUGCCUCCCAGAGACUCUUCCAGCAGCACCAGUGGUGUUAGCACCAUGGACCAGGGAGACUGGCUGGCGGCGUUUAGAGGUGAUCCAAUGCCUGAACCUUCAACACAGCUUCCCAACUAAAUGCAACCACAUGCUGAGAAUGCUGCUAAGCUGCAAGAUGAGUCUUUCUCCACAUGUACCCUGCAAAGGAGGUCACAUCGUGCAACAGGACUCAGCUGUGAGCUUGAGCGAGAACAAAAGGGUGGUUGUUACCCCCAGGAGCUGUCAGUGAGCACCGGCACCCUCAGGGCUCUGGUGCCAGGGUUGUCACGGUGGGGCUGUGGUGUCUGAGCAUGAGGAUUUCCCCCAGACCCUCGCAGAGGGCUUUUCCAAAGGGAAAUAGCUCCUCACAACUGCCGGCUCCUUGCAGCUCCUGCUGUUAUGGCAAGGAGAAAACCAUCCCUAGUGGGGAGAGCUCAGCUCAGUGGCUCAAAAGGACCUGCAGACAACAGGAAAAACUCACCAGUAAUUAUGUGAUUCCAGCUUAUCCAGAGACAGAAUUUGACUUGGUAGAUCCCAGGACAGAGCAGUGAUUUCUGCAUCGCCCAGUACUGUACCUGAGGUCUCACUCCCAGCCUGAGGUAUCUGAUCUCCAUAAGGACAACAGGCUUUUCUUGGUGGGUGAUCUGUCAGAGCAACCCACUCUGCAAACCAUCAACGUCCCGAUGGUUGGGGAAGACUUUCUCUUUCU